UCCGGGAACUGUGUAGCUGACGGCCAUCUUGGAAGGCAGAAUGGCGUCAGACGCGGUGAACAAGCUGUUGGGGAAUAUUUAUUUUAUUUUUUUAUUGAAUUAAAUGUUAUUUUAAGAUUGUGAAGGUUACUUGAUGUUGGACGGACGGAAAGUCCGCAGUUUUUACUCGUUUGAGCGAACCGGAGAAUCUGGGUCGGAAACAUCAGCCUUGAUGAUUAGCCGUGGAAAACAUCAGGAAUCUGCCCCAUCGCUUUUAUUCCGCUGUUCCACAUCUCCUCUGAUUCGUUCCUCUGGUUCCCUCGUUCAGGUUUUCACCGUUUCUCCUCCUGACCUGCUCCGACCGUCAUUCUGCCAAAGCUGAAGGAACGUCUGACUGAAUCUGAGUCGAUCUUCAGGGAGAAAAAACUUGUGGUUGGUUGCCAGGCCAGCACAGUAACAGCAACUUUGCCAGUUCCUGCAACCUAAGCGGCUGCCAGUGAAACGGCGUAAUGGUCCAGCUGCUGAUCAGACACAGGACGUCUUCAGGACGGCUCCCAGACGCCGCGGCCAUGUCAGCAGCGCCGAUGAAGGCCCGUCUGCCAGAGAGGAGGAGCUGGGCUGGACGGAGAGCCCGGCUGCUGCGGCGCUGCCAGGCUCCGGCUCUCCUUCACCGUCUGGCCAACUUCUCACGGCGAAGUCUCAGCAGCAUUCCCAGAUUUCCAGGUCCAUCUGUUGCGGAGAGAUUCCUAAUUUUUCCUUCCUCUGCAGGAAGACCAGAGGCAGGUGUCACCAAACGGUUCAAUUCAAUCCCCUUAUUUAUUCCUAAACAACCACUAGUGUCACCUUCCCAGGAUUAAUCCGUCGGAAAUUAACUGUAACUGAAAAAUGUUUAUUUAUUGCAUUGCAAAUAAAUAUUUUUCAAUAACCUG